rnacentral:rRNA from 1 species
AACGAACGCUGGCGGCAGGCCUAACACAUGCAAGUCGAACGAAGUCUUCGGACUUAGUGGCGGACGGGUUAGUAACGCGUGGGAACGUGCCCUUUACUUCGGAAUAGUCCCGGGAAACUGGGUUUAAUACCGAAUACGCCCUUUGGGGGAAAGAUUUAUCGGUAAAGGAUCGGCCCGCGUUGGAUUAGGUAGUUGGUGGGGUAAUGGCCUACCAAGCCGACGAUCCAUAGCUGGUUUGAGAGGAUGAUCAGCAACACUGGGACUGAGACACGGCCCAGACUCCUACGGGAGGCAGCAGUGGGGAAUCUUAGACAAUGGGGGCAACCCUGAUCUAGCCAUGCCGCGUGAGUGAAGAAGGCCUUAGGGUCGUAAAGCUCUUUCGCCAGGGAUGAUAAUGACAGUACCUGGUAAAGAAACCCCGGCUAAACUCCGUGCCAGCCGCCGCGGUAAUA